rnacentral:rRNA from 1 species
GCUUGGUAAUGCAAGUUCGAGCGAAUGGAUUAAGAGCUUGCUCUUAUGAAGUUAGCGGCGGACGGGUGAGUAACACGUGGGUAACCUGCCCAUAAGACUGGGAUAACUCCGGGAAACCGGGGCUAAUACCGGAUAACAUUUUGAACCGCAUGGUUCGAAAUUGAAAGGCGGCUUCGGCUGUCACUUAUGGAUGGACCCGCGUCGCAUUAGCUAGUUGGUGAGGUAACGGCUCACCAAGGCAACGAUGCGUAGCCGACCUGAGAGGGUGAUCGGCCACACUGGGACUGAGACACGGCCCAGACUCCUACGGGAGGCAGCAGUAGGGAAUCUUCCGCAAUGGACGAAAGUCUGACGGAGCAACGCCGCGUGAGUGAUGAAGGCUUUCGGGUCGUAAAACUCUGUUGUUAGGGAAGAACAAGUGCUAGUUGAAUAAGCUGGCACCUUGACGGUACCUAACCAGAAAGCCACGGCUAACUACGUGCCAGCAGCCGCGGUAAUACGUAGGUGGCAAGCGUUAUCCGGAAUUAUUGGGCGUAAAGCGCGCGCAGGUGGUUUCUUAAGUCUGAUGUGAAAGCCCACGGCUCAACCGUGGAGGGUCAUUGGAAACUGGGAGACUUGAGUGCAGAAGAGGAAAGUGGAAUUCCAUGUGUAGCGGUGAAAUGCGUAGAGAUAUGGAGGAACACCAGUGGCGAAGGCGACUUUCUGGUCUGUAACUGACACUGAGGCGCGAAAGCGUGNGGAGCAAACACGAUUAGAUACCCUGGUAGUCCACGCCGUAAACGAUGAGUGCUAAGUGUUAGAGGGUUUCCGCCCUUUAGUGCUGAAGUUAACGCAUUAAGCACUCCGCCUGGGGAGUACGUCCGCAAGGCUGAAACUCAAAGGAUUGACAGGGGCCCGCACAAGCGUUGCAACAUGUGUUUAAUUCAAACCCACCC